AACAAAAAAUUCAAGCAUGAAUCUUUGCUAAUUUCCAGGGUUACAAGGAAUAUUAGUCAUCCUUAACCAUGCUCCAAAUGAAUACAAAAUUAAUAUCCUCAACAACAAUUCCUUUGUAAAUUGGAAUUACUAAGAAGAAAGUGCAUAUGAAAACAAAAUGGAAGCAAAUUUGGAUUUUGAAAAAAUACAAUCAUUGUGCAUUCAUAACAAUUAAAUUUCCA
rnacentral:lncRNA from 1 species